UCGCGGCUUAUCACCGGCAGUCCCCUUAGAGUGCCCAACUGAAUGAUGGCAACUAAGGGCGAGGGUUGCGCUCGUUGCGGGACUUAACCCAACAUCUCACGACACGAGCUGACGACAACCAUGCACCACCUGUCACUCUGUCCCCCGAAGGGGAAAGUCCUAUCUCUAGGAUUGUCAGAGGAUGUCAAGACCUGGUAAGGUUCUUCGCGUUGCUUCGAAUUAAACCACAUGCUCCACCGCUUGUGCGGGCCCCCGUCAAUUCCGUUGAGUUUCAGCCUUGCGACCGUACUUCCCAGGCGGAACACUUAAUGCGUUAGCUACGGCACGGAGAGGGUCGACACUCCCCACACCUAGUGUUCACCGUUUACAGUAGGGACUAC
rnacentral:misc_RNA from 1 species